UGGGGAAUCUUGGACAAUGGGCGAAAGCCUGAUCCAGCCAUGCCGCGUGAGUGAAGAAGGCCCUAGGGUUGUAAAGCUCUUUCAGCGGGGAAGAUAAUGACGGUACCCGCAGAAGAAGCCCCGGCUAACUUCGUGCCAGCAGCCGCGGUAAUACGGAGGGGGCUAGCGUUGUUCGGAAUUACUGGGCGUAAAGCGCGCGUAGGCGGGUGACCAAGUUGGGGGUGAAAGCCCGGGGCUCAACCUCGGAACGGCCUUCAAAACUGGUUAUCUAGAAUCCGGGAGAGGUAAGCGGAAUUCCUAGUGUAGAGGUGAAAUUCGUAGAUAUUAGGAAGAACACCAGUGGCGAAGGCGGCUUACUGGACCGGCAUUGACGCUGAGGUGCGAAAGCGUGGGGAGCGAACAGGAUUAGAUACCCGUGUAGUCC
rnacentral:rRNA from 1 species